UACAGAGGUGGCAAGCGUUGUUCGGAAUUACUGGGCGUAAAGGGCGCGUAGGCGGCCAUCUAAGUCAGACGUGAAAUCCCCCGGCUUAACCUGGGAACUGCAUUUAUGACUGCACGGCUGGAGUGCGGCAGAGGGGGAUGGAAUUCCGCGUGUAGCAGUGAAAUGCGUAGAUAUGCGGAGGAACACCGAUGGCGAAGGCAAUCCCCUGGGCCUGCACUGACGCUCAUGCACGAAAGCGUGGGGAGCAAACAGG
rnacentral:rRNA from 1 species